rnacentral:rRNA from 1 species
GACGAACGCUGGCGGCGUGCUUAACACAUGCAAGUCGAACGGAAAGGCCCUGCUUGCAGGGUACUCGAGUGGCGAACGGGUGAGUAACACGUGGGUGAUCUGCCCUGCACUUCGGGAUAAGCCUGGGAAACUGGGUCUAAUACCGGAUAGAAGCCAUUUUUAGUGUGAUGGUUGGAAAGGUUUUUUCGGUGUAGGAUGAGCUCGCGGCCUAUCAGCUUGUUGGUGGGGUAAUGGCCUACCAAGGCGGCGACGGGUAGCCGGCCUGAGAGGGUGGACGGCCACAUUGGGACUGAGAUACGGCCCAGACUCCUACGGGAGGCAGAAGUGGGGAAUAUUGCACAAUGGGCGCAAGCCUGAUGCAGCGAGGCCGCGGGGGGGAGGACGGCCUUCGGGUUGUAAACUCCGUUCGCUAGGGACGAAGCUUUUUGUGACGGUACCUAGAUAAGAAGCACCGGCUAACUACGUG